GAGCUGCUGUAGCCCCUACAUGGUGAGUAGAUCGUGUCCAAAGAAAAGAAAUCAGCGGAGGCUUCCACAGUCCCUGGUUGGAAUGGAACCGGCGGUGAGGAUGAGAGGCGCUGAAGACCAGAAGACCCAGGGCGUGAACGGGGCGUGUCAUCCCUGGAGUUUCAGUAGAAUUUCAGGCCUGUCUGCUUGAGCAGCAGAGGAGGAGAUUCUGUGUGCCUCUGAGAGACUGUGUGUGUGUGUGUGUGUGUGUGUGUGUGUGUGUGUGUGUGUGUGUUGAAUGAACAGGGUUGUGUACGUGUGUGUGCGUUAGACGAAUGAACAGGGUUGUGUACCUGUGUGAACUGUCACUGUGACUCUAGGCUGUAGGCUCUGCAGAUUCCUCAGCCCUGUCGCCUCACAGACACGGGAUCUGCAGCAGGUAAAAGAGAGAAGCCAGAUUCAUGGAGGCAUGAAGGAUCCCAGCAAGAAAACACAGACUUGAUCUUGAGAUGAGAUUUUUGAAGUUGGCUGCGGCCUCAAGGCAGGCUCUGAGAAGACUCGAUAAAGAGUUCUCAGGAAUAGGCAUCCCUCCUGGAUAUUUCCCCCUUGGAAGCGCCGAGGAGCCAGUUAUAUGUUUGUAACCACAGCAUUUCUAAAGCUGCAGCCCCAGGAACCUGCUAUGAAUUAGAAACAGAUUCCACCCUAGACAUCAGUGACCUUGGCCUCUCGUAUUGGGAAGGUCAACACUGUUCCAGUUUCCCUCCUACUCCCAUCUGGUUGUGCUCGGUGAAGUAGGUGAGCAGUGCUACACUUCUGUUAAAAAAAAAAAAAAAAAAGAUCCUGAAAGAGGAAAGAAUUUUUGCUACACAUCUGAAAGCUGAAGUCCAGUUGAACUCCAGAGGAGAACACAGCCCAGGUAACACCUCGUUUGCAGCCUGUGAGACCAGCCGGAGGAGAGCACCCAGCUAAACUCCAUGUCCAUGGAAACUGUGAGAUUUUAUCUAUCUAUCUGUCUAUCUAUCUAUCUAUCUAUCUAUCUAUCUAUCUAUCUACCUAUCUAUGUUGUUUUAAGCUAAAUUCGUGGUAAUUGGUUAUGGUAGCAACUGAAAAUUAAUGCAGUAAGAAAGUCUAAGGAGAUCAGAAGAGACUAAAGAGAAAGAACAGCUAAAUGCAACGUAGAUUAAUAUGUGGGAUCCUGGAAAAGAAAAAGGACAUUAAUGGGAAAACAUAUUUGAAUAAGAUGUGCAAAUUUUUCAUAUUGUACCAAUGUUAAUUUCCUGGUUUUGAUAAUUAUCCUUUGGUUAUGUAAGAUAAACGCUAGAAUGAAGGGUAUGUGAGAACCCUCUGUACUACUCUUGCAACUUUUCUCUAAGUCUAAAAUAAGUGGAAAUUAAAAGUUAAAACAAAAAAAAAAGGAAAAUUUUAUCUAUCCCAAGAUCACAAAGAUAUUUUUCUGUUUCUUCCUCCAGAAGCUUUAUUGUUUGUUUUCACACUUAGACCUACGAUCCAUCUUGAAUUUAUGUCUGUGUAUGUAGUGGGAUGAAGUUCAAAAUCAUUUUUUUCAUAUAGAUAUCCAAGUGCACUGGCACCGUUUGUUAAAAACACUGGCCUUCUCUUAAGCUGCAGUCAGACUUUUACUGUAAAGCAUGGGACCAUAUAUGUGCAGGAGUCUUUGGACUUUUCUGUUGGUCCUCUUUGUCAAUCUUUGUGCCAGCACCUCCAUUUUGAUUCCUGUAGCUUUAUAUCUUGAUAAUCUGGUAAUAUAAGUUGAAGAACAACUUUGUUCUUCAAAAUCACCUUGUCUAUUCCAGGUUCUUUGCAUUGCUCUAUAAUUUUAGAAUGAGUUAAUUAAUUUUCUCAAAACAAACAAAACACCUUGCUGACAUUUUAUUGGCAGUACAUUGAAUCAGUAGAUAAAUUUAGAGAGAAUUAUCUCAAAAUUGAGUCUUACAGUUCAUGAACAUGGAAUACAUUUCCAUUUAUUGAAUUCAUCUUUAAUUUCUUUCCUUUAGGUUUUGUUGUUUCUGAAAGGUCUUGCACAUCUGUUAAAUCUAUUCCAAAGUGUUUUACAUUUUUUAUGUUUUUACAAACUGUUCAGGUUUUAAAAAUUUUAUUUUUCAGUAGCUUUGCUUUAAUAUAAUUGUUUUAUACUUUGACCCUUUAUUCAACAAUAAAUUAAUGUAAUUUAAAGCUUGUGGAAUUAAAAAAUAUUUUUAUGUACAUAAUCAUGUAAUCUACACUAUCUGCAAAUAAAGAUCAUUUUACUUCCUUCCA
rnacentral:lncRNA from 1 species